UGCAGCGCCGCCUCCCGUUCGCCUCUGCGCCUGGCCCGGCGACUGCGGGCGCUGCGGUCCACUGGGUCCGCCUCUUCCCGGCAUGGGUUUCUGCCCAGCUCACCCGCUGUCAGCUGGGGUCCUGCUCUGGUGGGAGGAAGAGGCUCAGACGCUUCCCUGCCCUCUCGCCUCAACCACCUCGAGGCAGCGGCUCCCAGGAUGUGCACUUUGACGACUAAAGCUGAGCCGGCGCCGCCACGACCUUGGGCGGGUGGUCGGCCUCUGCCCUGAGCAGGAAGUAGAAAGUCUCAGCAGACCCUUCCUGAGGGCCGAGCAACAGUGUAGUGGCGUAUUCCACAUAGCAAACAGGCAGCAUUUCUUCCUGUGACAAUAUGGUGUAAGACAAAAUUGUGGCCUGCCAUGAAGUUGUGAGAGAAAAGCAUCCCUCAUUUCUUCAGGAAAGGCCACUGCCGUUCCCUCCGGCUCCUCUUCUCAGGAGUUUGUGCAUUCAUGAGGUGAAUUCCUUGGAAGAUGAGGGCCAAGUCUUAUUCUUCUCAGUCUCUUCUGCAUCUAGCAGAAGAAUAAUGGUUGCACAGAAAAUCUUGGUUCAGUGGUUGAGUGAAUGAAUGGAUGAACAGGCUCUUGCACACAAAGAAGAGACAUGAUGUAUUUGCAUCCUUCCCUGCUUCAGCCAGGUCCCCAGACAGUCCCGGUGUGCACACUUCCCUGCUUCUGUUCAUGAUGUUCUCUGAACCUGGGAUCACCUUUCCCCUUCCUCUUACCUGCCCGAUCCUACUUGUCCUCCCAGAUUCAGUUUUCUGAAGCUCAGAGGGACACCUUGUAUUGCUGGAUGAUAAAAACAGGAGCAAAGUGAUGAAGUGCUGACAAGGCAACAAUAGAACAUGAGAGAUUCACUGCUGUGUAGGAAGAGAUCUUCGGUGACCAUGUAGCCUGAAGCUCUCAUUUUGUCAUCGAGGGACACCAAAACUCAGAACAGCAGCAGCUCACGCUGCUGAUGCAACACAGGUGAAGAGCACCUUCCCCUCCCCCACCUGUGGGCUGAUUCCCACCACGUGGAUCCCAAGGCCAUCCCAGGAACUCUUUGGAGGGGAGAAGCCCAGUGGAAACUGUCAGGCCUCUGAGCACAAGCCAAGCCAUCGCAUCCCCUGUGACUUGCACGUAUAUGCCCAGAUGGCCUGAAGUAACUGAAGAAUCACAAAAGAAGUGAAAAGGCCCUGCCCCACCUUAACUGAUGACAUUCCACCAUUGUGAUUUGUUCCUGCCCCACCUUCACUGAGUGAUUAACCCUGUGAAUUUCCUUCUCCUGGCUCAGAAGCUCCCCCACUGAGCACCUUGUGACCCCCGCCCCUGCCCACCAGAGAACAACCCCCUUUGACUGUAAUUUUCCAUUACCUUCCCAAAUCCUAUAAAACGGCCCCACCCCUAUCUCCCUUCGCUGACUCUCUUUUCGGACUCAGCCCGCCUGCACCCAGGUGAAAUAAACAGCCAUGUUGCUCACA
rnacentral:lncRNA from 1 species